rnacentral:lncRNA from 1 species
GGACUUAGUUCAGACCUCUUAAAUCGGGUAAGUGUGUACGUAAUGUUGUCAACGAUAAACUAUAAAUUAUAACUUAUAACUUGUAUACAGCUGCCACUGUCAUUAUUUUUAAAAGAAUUGUAUGGUUUCAAAACUUUAGCGUUAUUUAGUAUUAUAAUCAUUGUAACGAAACAAUUUAGAGAUAUAUAGGUUGACAUAGUUGAAACCGAAAGCAAAUUUUAAAUUUAACGAUUUCCAUUUCUUAUUUACAUUCUUGUAAUUGAAUAACAAUAUAAUUAUCAUUUUUUAAGUAAACAAUUGUCAUACAUUUAUCCGUGAUCAGCGGAAGUGUGUAAAUAAAAGUAUCUAUCAUUGUUCAUGUUCACUCAUGUUGUUACCUAGCCGUAUCAAUAUAUGAAUUAAAUGCACUGUGUAAAAAGUGCGAAUCGAUAAAGUUUAUCUAGACUAUUAGCCGGAUUUGGAAAAGGUUAGUUGAAUUGAUUAUAUUACAAGGAAAAUGUCAAGAUCCUUAUCUUUGCCAUUGAAAAUAGUCUUAACUAUUACUCGACCAAUCUAAAACAGUCUUAACCUGUUAUUGACCUGUACCUAACCAAUACCCAAACGAACAUGUUUUCAGACUGAACCAUACUCGACUCGUUUAAAGCAUUCUCAACAAAGGAGAGAUCUUUUCGACCUCACUUUGUGUCCAGAGUCGUCCGUCAUCGUCCGUCGUCGGUCGUCGUCGUUGUCCGUUAACUUUUACAAAAAUCUUCUCCUCUGAAACUACUGGGCCAAAUAGAACCAAAUUUUGCCUAAACCAUCCUUAUUUAGUUUUAAAAAUGUAUCCAAUGACCCCGCCCAUCAACCAAGAUGGCUGCCAUGGCUGAACAAAAAAUUGGGUUAAAAUGCAGUGUUUGGCUUCAAGCUUUGACACUAAAUAAAGCCUUAAGUGCAAAUCUGACAAGAAACAAUGUUAAUCAGAUCAAGUUCCAUCUUCCCUUUUUUUAUUAUCUUGAAUAUUAUAAUUGAUAGAGAUAAACUGUUAACAGCAAUAUUUUCGGCUAAAUAGGAUCUACAAAUAAGACAAAAGUUCAAAAUUGUCAAUUGACACCUUUAAGAGUUAUUGUCCUUUAAAGUCAACUUUUUUUUACAAAAUCUGCUUCUCUGAAACUACUUUGCCAAACUGAACUAAACUUGGCCUUAAUCUAAUCAUACUUAGUGUGUAUAAUUUAUGAAAUGUGUCCGAUGACCCGACACAUCAAGCAAGAUGGCCACCAUGACUAAAUCAAAACACCAAAGGCGCUGUAGGCAGUUAGGUAAAAAAAGUAGAGGCAAACUUGGCAGAAGUUAAGAAGAAUAUUGUGGAAAAAUUGGUCAAAAUAUUUAUCUCUGCUAUUUCUCAAGUAUUGAAUAAUGUUUGUACCCUAAACAUGCUAAAGUUUUCACUAUCCAAUCCUGCCACUUUCAAAAUUGUCCAAUUAUUUUUUUAAAUUUUCAAUAUCUGUGAUUAUACACAUACUGUAUGUACACUGUCCCAUGUAAGGGGAGAGUUUGUGCAUGUCCAUAUUGAGGACCUAGUAAUUUGGUAAUUGUAGCUGUAUAUCAUAUCCAUUUUUCAUAAUUGUUUUGUACAUCAAUCAGGUUGCUUUAGUUUUAUUGUUUUACAUUUGUAAUUUACUGGUCUUUUUAAGCUUAAUAUGCAGUCUACAUGUAGGUUUUGCUAAUAAUUACAAGCUGCAUGGAGGAAUAUUCUUUCAGAAUAAUAAUUUCAAUAAUGGGGUCCAGCAGUAGUGUAUGGUUUAAUUUAACUAUAUUCUAGAGUAUGAGUAUGCCAUAUAAGCAGUUUAAGUUGAAUCAGCUGGUGCACCUACAUUGUAUGCACGAUCAUCAAAUCAUAGCUGAAACUAUCUGAAGUGGUGUAAUUUUCUUGUAAGUUAUAUUACAAUAAAUGCUGAUAUUGUUAUAAUGGCCUAGCAAUGAUACAACAUUUUUUGAAGCCUGUAAGGUUGCCUAACUAUAACUUCUUACUUUCUUCAUUUGAAUUUUGUUGGAUAUAUACAUAUAUAUAGUUGUCUCAUAAUGAUGCAUUGGCUAUCAUUCCACAUCUUCUUAUCUUUAUAAUAAUUGUACAUGUCUUAUCUAUAAUCAGCUCUUAAUGCAGAGACAUGUUUUGCCUAUUUGUUAUCUUGAUAAUGCAAAUAAUACAAUUAAAAUAGAAAUGCAUUACCCGGCCAUGUCCACUUGUAUUUUUUGUCUAUCUGAUGAGUUAAGCCUUCUCAACUGAUUUUUAUAGUUCGUUCUUAUGUUGUACUGUUAUACCACUGUCCCAGGUUAGGGGGAGGGUUUGGAUCCCGCUAACAUGUUUAACCCCGCCACAUUAUUUGUGUAUGUGCCUGUCCCAAGGCAGGCGCCUGUAAUUCAGUGGUUGUCGUUUGUUUAUAUGUUACAUAUUUGUUUUUCAUUCAUUUUUUUUACAUAAAUAAGGCUGUUAGUUUUCUCGUUUGAAUUGCUUUACAUUGUCUUAUCGAGGCCUUUUAUAGCUGACUAUGCGGUAUGGGCUUUGCUCAUUGUUGAAGGCCGUACGGUGACCUAUAGUUUGUAUAAAUUUGGUCUUUUGUGGAUAGUUGUCUCAUUGGCAAUCAUACAAAAUCUUCUUUUUUAUAUUAACAUGUAAAAUAUAUUCAAAGACAAUGAUCCAUGACUGAUUGCACAGGGCUGGACAAUCCUUAUGGAAAUAAGAUGUGCUAACACUUAUACAACUGCUUACCAAUGCAAAUGCCAUUAAGUUUUCAUAAGUUGUCCCCUUUAAACAAACCUUAACACAUAUCUAAUUUCUAAGACAAUCAAUGAACAAUAAUGAGAGGGUGGGGUUAUUUAAUAUCCAUGGAAAUGAAACUUUUAAAUACCAAUAUGUUUGCAUACCAAAUGGCUUUGACUUAAGAUAACUGAUAUCUUAAACUGACAUAAUUAUAAUAAUAACAAACUAAUUCAAGUAAACUAGUUAAAAGUUCAAAGUCAAUAGAUCAUGCAUAUGACUGAGGGGUAAGGACCAAAUAUCCUCUAUGUAAGAUGUACUAAUGCUUCUUCACCUGCAUGGCAAUCAUCAUUGACUUACGACGAUUGGUUUCCCUCAUUAUAAAAUUAUCAAAAGCUAAAUAAAAUUUCAAAGUAACAUAAGCUUCCAAGUAAAAAGAGAAUAAUUGAGGGGGCAGGGCCAAAUAUCCUCAAUAGAAAUUGAAAGUGACAAGUUUUAUACAACUGCACACCAAAAUAUCAUUGACCGUUCACUAGUGGUUCCCCAAUAACUGACCUAAUCAAAAACUAAUACAUGUAAACUAAGUUUCAGAGUCAAUAGACAAUGAUAAAGGGAGUGGGGCUAAAUAUUCUGGUAAUGAGAUAUACAGGUCUAUGCUAACACAACUGGUUUCCAAAUAUCAAAGACCUCCCAUAAACUAGACCUAAUCACAAAAUCACAAACUACAUUUUUGUAAUACAUUGUUGAUGCUGCCAAAACAACACAUCUUUAUAUAUAUAUGCCUGUCUUUUUGACUCUGUCAUCUUUGGCAAGACAAAAAUUCCAACAAAUUUAAUACAAAUAUUUUGUCCAUCUUUUUUUUAAUAUUUCUAUAUUCUUAAUUUCUUAAAUCAAUUAAUGCUGCAUUUACACAUAAUUUUAUAUCAAUUUGAAUAUUUAACAUGUUUAAUGUCUACUUCAAUACACGUCAAAAUCACUUCACUGUCCAAAUGAGCUAAAUUUUUAAGUCAAUUAAUAAUAUUCAUUUGUUGUAACUGCUGGCAAGUUUAUAAAUAAUUCCCGUGAGAAAGCUGAAUCAAAACUUGUUGUACUAGUCGACAUGAUUACCCUGGCAUAAACAAUCUUCAAAAUUGAUCAUAUAUGUAGAUGAACUGGUAGGUAUAUGUAAAUGUAAGUAUCAACAGGUCUUCAAUGCAGCGAGAAAUUCCCGCACCCGGAGGCGUCCUUCAGCUGGCCCCUAAACAAAUAAAUAUACUAGUUCAGUGAUAAGUAACGCCAUACUAACAAAAUUGUACACAAGAAACUAAAAUUAAAAAUAAUACAAGACUAACAAAGGCCAGAGGCUCCUGACUUGGGACAGGCGACAAAAAUGCGGCGAGAGGUAAACAUGUUUAUGAUAUCUCAACCCUCCUCCUAUACCUCUAGCCAAUGUAGAAUAGUAAACGCAUAACAAUACGCACAUUAAAAUUCAGUUCAAGAGAGGUCCGAGUCUGAUGUCAAAAGAUGUAACCAAAGAAAAUUAACAAAAUGACAAUAAUACAUAAAUAACAACAAACUACUAGCAUGCUGUUAACUGACAUGCCAGCUCCAGACUUCAUUUAAACUGAUUGAAAGAUUAUGUCUUCAUCAUAUGAAUAUCAGGCACAAUCCUACCCGUUAGGGGUUUAGUAUCAUACCAUCAUAACAUAUAUGAGAAGAUAUACCUAUAUGGUACCAAAUUGGGUUUCCCCUUGGGCACUUAUUUUUUCGUCACCUCUUUCGCCAAAACAACAUAUUUUUCGCCACUUUGUUACUUUUUUUGCCAAGUAACAUAAAUAUAUCUUUCGUUUAAAUUUUUUGUUCUAUCCUAUCCCACUCCUAAACCGUUAGUUUUUCCGUUUGAAUGGUUUUGAACUAGUUAUUUUAGGGGCCCUUCAUAGCUUGCUGUUCGGUAUGAGCCAAGGCCCCGUGUUGAAGUCCUACCUUGGCCUAUAAUGAUAUACCUUUAUUAUGUUAUUUGGAUGGAGAGUUGUCUCAUCGGCAAUUAUACCACAUCUUCCUUUAUCUAUCAUAUGGUCCGACCAUACGCUACAGUUUGACCAUAAGAAAAUACGCAUAUGGUCGUGACCAUACGCGUAUGGUCCUAUUACUCAUAUGGUCAGGAACAUAAGCAUAGGCAAUUUGAAUUAAGACGUACAUACAUAUUUUGUAUAAGAUGAGGUGUAUGUUCUUAAAAGAGUAUGCAUCUUAGAUAUUUCAUGAUCUAUUUGUCUUGUUUCUUGUAUUAUUUAUUUUAUUGUUUAAGAAAUGGAAACCGAAAAUGACUAAAUGCUACAACUGUGAGGAGGAGUCUGAUUGUACAAUAUAUAAUAAUUUGUCAUACAGCAACUAAACACCAUAACUUCCUUUCAGUAAAAGAAAAGGGUAUAAAAAGUAGAAACUAUGAAUAUUAAUCAAGACAUUACAUGUUGUUCCUGGUGUCGUUCGAAGCAC